GAAAUGCGAUACUUGGUGUGAAUUGCAGAAUCCCGUGAACCAUCGAGUCUUUGAACGCAAGUUGCAUCUGGGUUCAUGGCCGACUUCGCCGUGAUAAAAUGGUGGAUGAGCCACGCUCGAGACCAAUCACGUGCGAGCCGGUCAGUUCAGGACCCAUCGACGACCCUUUGCGUGCACGCACGCUCCCAACGAGACCUCAGGUCAGGCGGGGCUACCCGCUGAGUUUAA
rnacentral:misc_RNA from 1 species